rnacentral:rRNA from 1 species
UACGUAGGGUGCGAGCGUUGUUCGGAAUUACUGGGCGUAAAGGGCUCGUAGGCGGCCAACUGAGUCAGACGUGAAAUCCCCAGGCUCAACCUGGGAACUGCGUCUGAUACUGGAUGGCUUGAAUCCGGGAGAGGGAUGCGGAAUUCCAGGUGUAGCGGUGAAAUGCGUAGAUAUCUGGAGGAACACCGGUGGCGAAGGCGGCAUCCUGGACCAUUACUGACACUGAAAAGCGAAAGCCAGGGGAGCAAACGGG